UACGGAGGGUGCAAGCGUUAAUCGGAAUUACUGGGCGUAAAGCGCACGCAGGUGGCUGAGUAAGUCGAUUGUGAAAGCCCUGGGCUUAACCUGGGAAUUGCAGUCGAUACUGCUCGGCUAGAGUAUGGGAGAGGGUAGUGGAAUUCCCGGUGUAGCGGUGAAAUGCGUAGAUAUCUGGAGGAACACCGGUGGCGAAGGCGGCAUCCUGGACCGACACUGACACUGAGGAGCGAAAGCCAGGGGAGCAAACGGG
rnacentral:rRNA from 1 species